GACGAAGGUGGCGAGCGUUGUUCGGAAUCACUGGGCAUAAAGCGCACGUAGGCGGCAGAGUAAGUCGGAUGUGAAAUCCCUCGGCCUAACCGAGGAACUGCGUCCGAUACUGCUUUGCUUGAGGAUCAAAGGGGUGCAUGGAACUUCCGGUGGAGCGGUGAAAUGCGUUGAUAUCGGAAAGAACGCCGGCGGCGAAAGCGGUGCACUGGUUGAUCUCUGACGCUGAGGUGCGAAAGCCAGGGGAGCAAACGGG
rnacentral:rRNA from 1 species